rfam:Serinicoccus sp. JLT9, complete genome.
CAGAGAUGCCCUUCCGGGGUGGCAGUUUGGAACCGUCGCAAGUCCCAAUCUCCCAGCACGGCAGGGCAUCUCCUCGUUACGGCACGCUCACAACCCCCAGGUCAUCGGUGGAUCGAG